CCUACGGGAGGCAGCAGUGAGGAAUAUUGGUCAAUGGGCGCGAGCCUGAACCAGCCAAGUCGCGUGAGGGAAGACGGCCCUACGGGCUGUAAACCUCUUUUGCCGGGGAGCAACGGGCGCCACGUGUGGCGCCACUGAGAGUACCCGGAGAAAAAGCAUCGGCUAACUCCGUGCAAGCAGCCGCGGUAAUACGGAGGAUGCGAGCGUUAUCCGGAUUUAUUGGGUUUGAGGGGUGCGUAGGGGGACGGUUAAGUCAGUGGUAAAAUUGAGGGGCUCAACCCCUUCCCGCCAUUGAAACUGGCGCUCUUGAGUGGAAGAGAAGUAAGCGGAAGGCGUGGUGUAGCGGUGAAAUGCAUAGAUAUCACGCAGAACCCCGAUUGCGAAGGCGGCAUGCCGGCUUCCUACUGACGCUGAAGAACGAAAGCGUGGGGAGCGAACAGGAUUAGAUACCCCUGUAGUC
rnacentral:rRNA from 1 species